UACGUAGGGGGCAAGCGUUAUCCGGAUUUACUGGGUGUAAAGGGAGCGUAGACGGCAAAGUAAGUCUGAAGUGAAAGCCCCGGGCUCAACCCGGGAACUGCUUUGGAAACUAUUUAGCUAGAGUGCAGGAGAGGUAAGUGGAAUUCCUAGUGUAGCGGUGAAAUGCGUAGAUAUUAGGAGGAACACCGGCGGCGAAGGCGGCUUACUGGACUGUAACUGACGUUGAGGCUCGAAAGCGUGGGGAGCAAAC
rnacentral:rRNA from 1 species